UCAAAAAAAAAGAAAAAAGAAAUGUUAUGAAUUGGUAACAUCAGUCACAUUCCUACAACUUGCUGGUGCCUGGCACUGACCCGCAGCAGCCUCUGAGAUUACUAAUAGGCUGAGUGUAGGAGUAGCCUGGACCAUGUCUCCAUGGGUGUGGGGGAUAGCUCUUCUGAAGAAAGACUUAGGCUCAGUAUUUAGGAAACCUGAAAUGAAAGUGAGCCCACCUCUGUUUACCUUGUAGGAAGCUGAGCUAAGUGAGCAGCUGAAGAUGAAGGGAAGCCCAGAGGUUUUGCAGGUCACCAGAAAAGCCCUAAUUGAAGGAGGUACUAUACAAAUUUAGAAGAAAUGGUGCGUGAUUGUUUACAAAAGGUUCCUGAAUUUUCAGUGUUUGGCAGAGGAGGAGACAUGGAGAAAUACUGAAACUCCUGCUAAAGGACACCCCUUCAAAGGGCAGGCGCUGUGCUGGGCUCUGGGACUCGUGGGUGAACUGCACAGAGCUGGGCCCUGCCUUCAGGGAAAGAAGACAAUAAGCAAAACAUACCCAAAGAGAUGGUUACAAAGACAGCGAGCACCCGGAAGGAAAAUGGAAGCUGCCAGGAAAGGGGCUCCUGGGCCUACUCACCAGGAAGUCCAGUCCUCACCAGCCCGGAGGCCUGGUCUGCAUCCUCAGCCUCACAGAAGCUCAACCAGUCACUUAAAACGAGAUUGCAGUGAUGUUUUACAACUCUGUGAACGCACUAAUAGCCACUGAAUUCUACACUAACGUGUGCAUUUUAUGACAGGAGUGCUGCAUCUGGAUGGCAUGGCAGAGGGAAGCCCCAGCUGCCACUGCUCCAGGGACCCUUAUAGUUCCACGGUGAUGGGGAACAGAAAGAGGCUCUUCCAGGAAACAGCCUUGGGGACAAGGAGACCACACUUCUGGGUGAUUCGAAGAUCAGACAAGGCUCCUGUAAAAUGAACGAAUGAAGUGAAUGAAUGAGACGGAGUUGCACUGUUAGAGAUGGUGGCAGCAGUGUGAAUCAAAUGAAGUCCCUGCUCUCCCGGUUGUGGCCACGUUAGUCCAGCCCAGAAGAGUCUCCAGGGGCCCGAGCAUCUGUCCUCACAUCAGAACUAGCUUUGGGAUUGUGACUUUGGGGUUGCUUUGUUGGCUUCCUUUUCCUGUCAGGCAGCAUAUAGGGCUGGGGGCUGUCAACCGCACCCUCCCUGAAUCUACGUCCAUCACGAGUCCCCUUGCAGGGCCUUCUUUUUUUUUGACCCAGCGUCAGUCAUGUAACUUGCUUUGGCCAAGUGAUGUCAGCAAGUGGGAUACAAGCAGAGGUCUGAAAAGUGCUGGCAAACGGGGCUUGCUCGCUCGGCUCUGCCACAGUGUGAGAACGUGCCUCGACUCGCCUGCCGGUGGACAGCACACUUGGAACAGGACUGGUGUCGCCAGCUGCCCCAGCCGAGGCCACCCUAGACCAGCCAGCAGCCAGGACCAUGGCCCGGGCGAGUCCAGCCUGCAUCACUGGCUGCAGACUCGUGGGCUAAAUAAUUGCUCAUUGCUUCAAGUCACUGAGUUUCAGGGCAGUCCGUCCCAUAGCAUUAUUGUGGCAGUGGUCACUGAUGGGGCAGUAGGAGGGCUCCUGUCAGUACCAGGAGCUGUUGGCUCCUGUCAGAAAGGACCUAGUGGUAGCCAGUGUGGACCUGGAACAAGAGAGUGGGCCUUAAAACGAGGAUCUCCAGGCACCAUGUGGGGCUGAGCCUCAUAGGCAGCCAUUCCUGAAGCGCAGGAGGUGGUAGGAAAUUAGGAGGCAAAGGCAUGAGAUGCUAUGGCAGCUUCCCUGAGCGGGGACGAUGGGCACCACUCAUCGGUGGGCACCGCAGGGUGAGUCAGUUCCCGGCCCUGCUGCUUGAACUCAUCUCCCACAGGCACAGGCUGGCCGUGGGAGUCCGCGGGCCACGUGCAGUCUCCUCAUUCCCACCUCCUCCAGGUUUCCUUGCAGCCUCCACCUCCAGGGCUGAGUCAUGAGCUCAUGGCCCCAGGGAAGGAGAAGCUGGAAAGGCCUAGGACUUCAAGGUCACAGAGCUGUCAGCCCUCUGGGGAACUGCCUUGGUAGAACAGAGUAGCCACCUCACCCAAGGCAGCCCCCAGCCAGGGACGGAUCAGCUUGGGGGCGUAAACCUUGGUCCCCUCACCGCAGCUUGGUGCAGCCUGCAGGGCCACCCCAGCUCCGGGGCUCCUGAGACCAGCUUCUCCCUCGGGCCAUCCUGCCUGUCCCAUUCUGUCCCCUUCCAUCAGGGCUGACCCCCAGAGGACACCCUAACAAUUCCCUGCAGCCCAGGCUCCACCUCGGUGGGUAGCAGCUUCCCUGAAACCAGUGGUGCUUCUCAUUCAGUCCCUGCAGGCUGAGAAGCAGCCUGAAGGAUCUCCACUGCUUCCAGGCGAGGCCCCAGGGAUCUGCUGAGAAUCUGGCUGGUUGGCUUGCCAGGAAACAUCACUGUGAGUGUGAAGUGUCCCAGCCUUUGAGGGCCGCACGCCCACUGCCCAGGCAAGGGCUGAAUGGGAGCUUCAGAACUCAGGAGAUCACAGUGUGGGCGAGCCUAGGCUGCAGGACGGAGCCACAGCAAGGGUGACACAGGUUGCCAGUGCCCUGUGGAGGACACCACAGAACCCCACGGCAGCCCGGGCCUGCCGCGCCUGCACUGUCACCCACUUGGGGUGGAGCAUUCUUCUCUGCAACCAGCUAUAGGAAAUACAUAGUCUUAUAAUCUUUGUCCACCUGAGGAAUUACAGAUGGUCCCUGGCUCCUGGUGCCUCAAUUUAUGAUUUUUUGACUUUAUGAUGGUUUGAAAUAUUGGCAGUUUUGAUGAAUGUACAGUAUUCAAUAUAUCAUGUGAGGUAUUCAACAUUUUAUGAUAAAAUGGGCUUCGUGUGGCAUGAUUUUGCCCAAUUGUAGGCUAACCUGAGUGUUCUGAGCAUGUUUAAGGUCCACUAGGCUAAGCUAGGAUGUUCGGUAGCUUAGGUGUGUCAAAUGCAUUUUCAACUUACGAUAUUUUCAACUUGGAAUGGGUUUACCUGGAUGCAACCCCCAUGUAACUCGAGGAGCACCUGUAUGCGUCAAUUGCCUUCACCCUCUAACAGGGUGGGUGUGAGGGCUGCCAUGUCAGAGAAAGCAGGCCUGGAAUGGCGGUCAGAAGAGGAUUCUGGAAAUUCUGAGGUUUCCUAACAAGGCCCCAGUCAUGGCAGGAGGCUCUGAGGGCUCCACUGGGGCCGGAGAGGCUGCUUCCAGGCUCUCUCUGGCGUCCCUUGCUGGGGCUCCAGGCCUUCUCCAGCUGCUGGUGGCAGACCUGGAUCACAGGGCUGCUCAGUACAAGGCAGCUGGCUUUUCCCAGAGCAAGGGCUCUGAAGGGGAGGGAACAAGAGAAGGCGGGCAAGGUGGGGGGCACAGGCGUUUUGUAGCCAAAUAAUCUUGGAAGGGACAGCCCAUUACCUUUGCCAGAUUCUACUUAGUUGAAGCCAGUCCCUAGGUGACAGGAAUCACGAAGGCCAUUGGAGAGGCUGCCUGCCCUACGGGAUUGCAGAGGGGACGAGGCCCAGCAAAGUCUGUGGAGCUGGAGGAUGCCACGCCCAUUCAGGACGAAAUGCAGAAGGACGCUGCAGAGCCUGCUUCUCUGUUCCUUCGCCUCACUGGGGCAGACCAGCUGCGGCCAGCCUGUGCCCACUCCUCGCGGACCUGGGUACUGCUUCCAGAGAUCCUUCAGUCCUGGGAGUUUAAUCAUUCUGUCCCGGCCUCUUUGCUCCCAGCCCUCCCCUGGCAGUUGCUGCUCUAUUGUUCUAGCUCAGUUUUCACUUUUUGCCCUUGCAAUGCACAAGGGUUAGCAAUUCUUGAUGGUACAGUCUCUCUGUUCGAAGAGCUGGGGUGGUUUCUACUUCUAGCUGGACCCUGAGUGAUCCUUCAGGCAGGGGUCUCUGCGACUGGAGACAUGCUGUGUGCAUGAGGUCCCAUGUACACUCAGAUUGCAUCCCCCAUCCCUGCCCAGCCCUGAGAGGCAGGCGAGACAGUCCCCCUCUCACCAUCUCUGGGGUGGGCCUGGAUUUAUUGGCUGAAGAAUUACACCCUCUUUGAUGGUAUGCAGUUUAAUUCCGUAGAUCAAAGCUAUGUCUAGAUUUUAAAUAAAUGAUAGGGAUUUAAAAUUGUAUAUAAAACACA
rnacentral:lncRNA from 1 species